rnacentral:rRNA from 1 species
UACGAAGGGUGCAAGCGUUAAUCGGAAUUACUGGGCGUAAAGCGCGCGUAGGUGGUUCGUUAAGUUAGGAGUGAAAGCCCCCGGGCUCAACCUGGGAAUUGCUUCUAAAACUGGCGAGCUAGAGUAUGGUAGAGGGUGGUGGAAUUUCCUGUGUAGCGGUGAAAUGCGUAGAUAUAGGAAGGAACAUCAGUGGCGAAGGCGACCACCUGGACUGAUACUGACACUGAGGUGCGAAAGCGUGGGGAGCAAACAGGAUUAGAUACCCGGGUAGUCCCUGAG